UACGUAGGGUGCGAGCGUUGUCCGGAAUUACUGGGCGUAAAGGGCUCGUAGGUGGUUUGUCGCGUUGUUCGUGAAAACUCACAGCUUAACUGUGGGCGUGCGGGCGAUACGGGCAGACUAGAGUACUGCAGGGGAGACUGGAAUUCCUGGUGUAGCGGUGGAAUGCGCAGAUAUCAGGAGGAACACCGAUGGCGAAGGCAGGUCUCUGGGCCGCUACUGACGCUGAGAAGCGAAAGCAUGGGGAGCGAACAGG
rnacentral:rRNA from 1 species